rnacentral:rRNA from 1 species
UACGUAGGGUGCAAGCGUUAAUCGGAAUUACUGGGCGUAAAGCGUGCGCAGGCGGUUAUGUAAGACAGGUGUGGAAAUCCCCGGGCUUAACCUGGGAACUGCAUUUGUGACUGCAUAGCUAGAGUACGGUAGAGGGGGGAUGGAAUUCCGCGUGUAGCAGUGAAAUGCGUAGAUAUGACGGAGGAACACCGAUGGCGAAGGCAAUCCCCUGGACCUGUACUGACGCUCAUGCACGAAAGCGUGGGGAGC